UACAGAGGGUGCAAGCGUUAAUCGGAAUUACUGGGCGUAAAGCGUGCGUAGUCGGUUGUUUAAGUCGGAUGUGAAAUCCCCGGGCUCAACCUGGGAACUGCAUCUGUGACUGCAUCGCUGGAGUACGGCAGAGGGGGAUGGAAUUCCGCGUGUAGCAGUGAAAUGCGUAGAUAUGCGGAGGAACACCGAUGGCGAAGGCAAUCCCCUGGGCCUGUACUGACGCUCAUGCACGAAAGCGUGGGGAGCAAACAGG
rnacentral:rRNA from 1 species